GCCUGGUAGGCUGCAGUCCAUGGGGUCGCUAAGAGUCGGUCACAACUGAGCGACUUCACUUUCACUCUUCACUUUCAUGCAUUGGAGAGGGAAAUGGCAACCCACUCCAGUAUUCUUGCCUGGAGAAUCCCAGGGACAGAGGAGCCUGGUGGGCUGCCGUCUAUGGGGUUGCACAGAGUCGGACACGACUGAAGUGACUUAGCAGUAGCAGGGGUUAACUUUAUGCCAAAGUCUCCUCCAAAGCCCUUUCUCAAGUUUUUAAUCAUGCAUCCAAGAGCAGCCGGCUUGGAUUCUCCGCUACCCACCCCGCUUUCACUUUCCUUCUACAACGCCUCUCGUGCUCCUCUUGCUCUCUCAGCAGCCAGCCAGAUCCAGUCAAUUAAGGCUUCCACGUACUCUUCUUUGCACAAGUCUGAUUGAUCCUUGCUAAAUCCAAGACCACCUUACCACUGGCUGGUGCAGCCAAACGUGCAUGCAAAGCCACACUUCCCAAUCUGGCCCCAAGCAAUGCUCGGGAGGUCCCUGAGUCCCUAAGAAUGGAAGAGUGUCGUGGCAAAGGGGACAGUCCCUUGGAAACUAAAAGCUAUGUUGACAAACAAUCAGUACAGGCCUAGUGAACAGAGUACCACUUAUUUCGGUAAACAGUUUCCCACUGAGCCUAGGAGGACACAGCCGCCACAGACUCAUCCAGCCCCGAGGGGUUGAUCAGGCCCCUUCUUCCACUAUUACAGUGGGACCUACCUGUGCACUUCCCUUCUGUCAUCCACAGUCUUGUGAAGUCCGCCUGUAAGGACGAGUUGCUAAAACAAGAGCCAAUCCAUAGGCAGAGGCUCAAUAGGCCUGUCUCUCCAAGGGCUUCCUGGCCAAUGCACCAGAAAUGUGGAAUCUGGAGUUACAAAACACACCUCGGAGGACACUCAAGACAGUGGAGUACAGUCUAUUACACCAGAGGGUCCAAGGGGAAUCAGUUUUUAUACCCGCCAGUGGGUAUAAAACUGGGCCUUUCAGAAACAUCAGGGUCCUUGUUGGGAACUGAUUCCCCUUGGACCCGCUGGCGUAAUAAACUGUACUGCACUGUCUUGAGUGUCCUCCGAGGUGUGUUUUGUAAUUCCGGAUUCCACAGCAAUAGAACCAACAGCGCCAACAGGAGAGUGCUGGAAGUCCUUGCCCCACAAAGACCCUGGCAACCACUAUGGGAAAACAGACCCUGCGACAUCCCAGUGGUUCCAUAUAAUACUCCUGCUGGCCCUAUAUAACACCCUUCAAGAAACAGAAACCCUGCAAGCUUCUCUUGUCCUCCUACACCCACUCCUGCUCUCCAGUAACAUUCUCCAUCCUGGUUUGCUGUGCAGUCCAGUUAGUUAAGCCUGGUCCUACCAAAUUACUGAGAGCUUCCCUUUUAGUUUAGAAAAUUCUCAGUUUGGAUGUUAAAUGGAAUGGUCACUUUAGCCCAGUGAUGCUAAAACUUAAACAUACAACAGAGUCACAUGGAGGACUUACUGGAACAGGUAACUGAGUGCCCAAAAUUGCUGAUUCGGUAGGUCUGGGGCAGGGCUCAAGAAUGCGCAUUUCUGGGACUUCCCUGGUGGUCCAGUGGCUAAGCCUCCAUGCUCCCAAUGCAGGGGGCCUGGGUUCAAUCCCUGAUCAAGAAACUAGAUCCUACAUGCUGCAACUAAGAGUUUGAAUGCCACAACUAAAGAUCCCAAAUGCUGCAACUAAGGCCUGGUGCAGCCAAAAAAGUAAAUUAAAAAAAAAAAAAAACCUUUUAAAAAGAAUGUGUAUUUCUGACAAUUUCCCAGGUGAAGCUGCUGCUUCAGGAUAGGGACCAGGCUUUGAGAACCACUGCUUUAAAUGAUGACUUACUCUCGGUACCCCUCUAACCCUCUGGUCACUUCUGUAAUCCUUUUUGUGUACCCCAUAUUCCCCAUCCUGCAACUCUGUCCUCAUCCUGCUACACUCCUCUCCCUGAUCCAGUAACAACCUUCCUGUCUCUCUUAACACCUCCCAUAACCCACCCUCCUCCUAUAACCUCUCCCUGUCCUCUAGAACUCCCUUUCUGCUCCCCAUAACCCUUUCCUAAACCCCUAUAAUCCCCUCCCACAACUUCUUAUCUGUCUUAUACUCCCCCUGCCUCUAUAAACCCUUCAAUUUAUUCAUAUAAAUCCCUCCCUGUUUCUCCUCAAACCCUUUCUCAAGACCCCAUAACCUCCCAGAUCCCUUCCUAACCCUCUCCCUGUCCCAUGAGAACCUUCUUAUCCCAUGUAACCCUCUCCUUGACCCCUAUAAUCUUCUCGUCUCUCACAACUUUUUCUUGUUCCUUUCUAACCUCCAGCCUCUUUCCCACACAAAUUAUUUCCUUUCCACCCAAGAAAAACUUUCCUGUGAGUUUACAAUUCCAUCCUGGACACCCAGACAUCCAUCAUCCCCCUGUCUAUCCCAUACUAGCUCUGGCUAUCCUCUUUUGACCCCUUCCUGGUGCCCUUAAACUCCCCACUCUGGAUCAUCAUCCACAAACCCAGUUAAUGCCACUACUGACCGCUCAACCUAGCCCUGGCGCUGCCCUGGAGAGUUGAGUCACAGGAGCAUGGCCUCUGUUGGCUACCACUUCAUUGUGAUUGGCUGCCCUGAUAUGGAGGAGGUGGCGGAGGGUCAGAUGAUGAUGUCUCAAAAGGGUUUAGACCCAGAUUCUGGUCGGUUCAGUGUUUUAAGGAGGCAUUACUUAGGCACUCCCCACCCCUCUUCUCUGCCUUGUCCCCUUCAUUGAUUCAAUGAAUAAAGAGGUAGGGUUUCAACUAUUUGCCUUUUUGUUGUUCCCAGUUUGAGCUCCUGAUUGACUCAAUGAAUGAACCUCAAGUACAGGCUACUAAAUUCUGGAAUGAUUCUUUGUUAAGCUCCAUAAGUGCAAAGGGCAAGGUGUAAUGUUGUCGUUGCUGUUUUUAGAAUGAAAAUAUCAGAAGCCUAGGGUGCUCCAGGCAGCACUCUGCUCUUGAGGGCCAAGUGAAAGCCAAGAAAGGCAAAGCCACAGCUGUCCCGGCAUUCAGAGACCAUGCAGGAGGCUGUCACCCUCCCCAGUCCCUGGAAGCAUGGAAGCCGAAAGGUGCAGGCAGAACAGGUGUAGGCAGAAAGCAUGUUGCCAAAGAUUGCUUCUCACCUUCUACCAGAGAAAUCAUCAACACAGACUGAUAAGAACGAACGCCCCAGGAUUUCCCUGGAGGUCCAAUGUAUAAGAAUCCAGGGGACACGGAUUUGAUCCCUAGUCUGGGAAGAUUCCGCCUGCUGCAGAGCAACUAAGCCCGUGCGCCACAGCUACUGAACCCGCGUGCCACAACGACCGAAGCCCAUGUGCCUAUGGCCCAUGCUCCGCAACAAGAGAAACCACUGCAGUGAGAAAGCCUGUGCGCUGCAAUGAAGAGAAGCCCGCACUCGCUGCAGCUAGAGAAAGCCCGAGCACAGCACCGAAGACCCAGUGCAAGCAAAAAGAAAGAAAGAGAACCCUCAUCCAUGGCUGAGAGUCCCUUGGCUGGUAUGUUUCUUGCCAGGUGGAUCCCAUGGCUGGUGGUCAUGUGUCUCUUAGCCAGUGGGCUACAUCCCAGGAAGGCCAUCGCUCCCAGUGCUCUGUCUCACUAAGGGUUUAAUGUGCAACUCUGACCAGAGCCGUUCUUUGGUGGGGUUUCAGCAAGUGAGAGUGAACUGCAAGGGCUGUCCCACCUGCCACUCUCUCCAGGGGCUCACCCAACUUCUGAAAUUCCCUUGAAUUAACAUUCUAGAGUUUCCUUUGUCCACAAAACCAGGUAUAAGGGCAGGACUAGGAGAAAAGCUGUAAAUAAAGCUAGGUACUUGUGCCUUCAACCUGCCUACGGUAAAAGAUUAAUAAAAAGAAAUGUCAAUCAAGUAGUUAGGAUACCAGAAGGGGGCACUCUGGUACCUUGCAGCAACAGCAGAGUCCUACAGGAAGAAGAAAGAUCCCCUCUUAGCUGGGGGUUGCCUUGGUGACUCUGAUGGUAAAGAAUCUGCCUCCAAUGCAGGAGACUGGGGUUUGAUGCCUGGGUUGGGAAGAUCCCCUGAGGAAGGGAAUGUACCCACUCCGGGGUUCUUGACUGGAGAACCCCUUGGACAGAGGAGCCUGGAGGGCUACAGUCCAUGAGAUCACAAAGAGCCAGACAUGACUGAGUGACUAACACUUGCUGGAGAAAUAUCUGGCAGUCUACUUUUUCAGGUCAACACUACUGUGUGCUUGUUCUGUAAAAGGAUCAGUUUGCUUCUCUGUUGCUUGAAGCCAAUGACUACAGAUGGAUCCCUGCGUUCUUGCCAAAAUUUGCUGGCAAUAGUCUUUUUAAUUUUGGUUUCAGUUUGAAUUUCCCUAAUGACAAAGGAUGUUAAUCACUUUGCAUAUGCUAUGGCC
ensembl:lncRNA